GGCUUUUUGAUAAUAAUUUAAGGUCUGGCCUGCCCAUUGAGUAAUUUUAGCUAAGGUAGCAUAAUCAUUAGUUUUUUAAUUGGAAGCUGGAAUGAAUGGUCGGAUGAAAAAAUAACUGUCUCUAUUUAAUUUUAGAUGAAUUUUAUUUUUAAGUAAAAAAGCUUAAAUAUAUUUAAAAGACGAGAAGACCCUAUAGAGUUUUAUAAAAUUUAAUUUUUAAUUUUUUUAGGAUUAUUAUUUUGUAAGUUAAAUUUUAUUUGAUUGGGGCGAUUGAAAAAUUUAAUUAACUUUUUUUAUAAAUUUUACAUUAAUUAAUGAAUAAUUGAUCCAUAAAUAAUGAUCAAAAGAUUAAAUUACCUUAGGGAUAACAGCGUAAUUUUUUUUAAGAGUUCUAAUCGAAAAAAAAGUUUGCGACCUCGAUGUUGGAUUAAAAUUAAUUUUUGGUGUAAAAGCUAAGAAUUUUAGGUCUGUUCGACCUUUAAAAUUU
rnacentral:rRNA from 1 species